GCACCUGAUGCAUGCCAUGGUAAUACACAUUGAGGUUAGAGAACAGACUCCAUUUUUGGGUAUUGCUGCACUUCACGAUAUGUAUCCAGAUGGCAUGGGAGGGUCCUAAGUUCAAAUAUGAUGACUUUGGGGGGUCUCGACAUGAAACGUUGUGCGCACAAGGAUACACACAGAUCCUUGUGUGUGGCGCACAGGGAUCUGUUCGGAGAUUAUCUUAUUAAUUUGUGAAUUGUAUGUGAAUAGAUGUUAACAAUAAACAUUAUUUAUUUUUUGUCUUUAUAGAUUUGCUCAGGGGCUGCGGCUACGGCAGAUUGACAUGCUAGAUGACACCAUUGCGAGUAGCUCAGCAACCCAGAGCAAAAUGGCCAAACGAUUAAGGGAAGUGUGUGUAACGGCAUUAAAAAAUGAGAAGACGUACAGGUCAGAGGAUCGGCGGCAGACGGGAGUUUGUUGUCAUCGAUGAGAGCCAUUUUCGGCACAAACGAAAGUAUGGGAGAGGAAGAAUGGCUGGUGCCUGGAACCGGAAAAAAUGGGUUUUUGGGAUGCUUGGUGUAAAAGAGAACUCUCGAAGGCCAAUUCUAUGCCUGGUAGAGCGGAGAAACCGAGCACAUCUGGUGCCUCUGAUCACCCAACAUGUGCGGGUUGGGUCCAACAUCAUCAGCGAUCAGUGGCGCGCUUACCGUGUUCUCCCUGCAUUGGGGUAUGUGCACCACACGGUAAACCGUGAAGAGAAGAGAAGAGAAGAUUUGGAGGCUCAGGGGAAACCGAACAGAAUCCUUGCUUCAGGACCACCUUGCAGUCAUUGAGUGGACUGAAUGGCUUGCCAGAAAGCACCGUCAUGGUGCGUUUGGUCGGUUGAUUCAUGACGUUUCAAGAAAAUACAGGUAGUGUGUUGUUUUUUGGCAAGCCAUUCAGACCACAUAGUGAUUGUGUGUGUGUGUGUGUGUGUGUGUGUGUGUGUGUGUGUGUGUGUGUGUGUGUGUGUGUGUGUGUGUGUGUG
rnacentral:lncRNA from 1 species